rnacentral:rRNA from 1 species
GACGAACGCUGGCGGCGUGCUUAACACAUGCAAGUCGAACGAUGAAGAAGGGCUUGCUCUUCGGAUUAGUGGCGAACGGGUGAGUAACACGUGACUAACCUGCCCCUUUCUCUGGGAUAACGCUCCGAAAGGAGUGCUAAUACCGGAUACUCACAUCGAGGCACCUGCCUUGAUGUGGAAAGUUUUUCGGAAAGGGAUGGAGUCGCGGCCUAUCAGCUUGUUGGUGAGGUAACGGCUCACCAAGGCGACGACGGGUAGCCGGCCUGGGAGGGCGACCGGCCACACUGGGACUGAGACACGGCCCAGACUCCUACGGGAGGCAGCAGUGGGGAAUAUUGCACAAUGGGCGAAAGCCUGAUGCAGCGACGCCGCGUGAGGGAUGAAGGUCUUCGGAUUGUAAACCUCUUUCAGUAGGGACGAAGCGAAAGUGACGGUACCUAAAGAAGAAGCACCGACUAACUAUGUGCCAGCCGCCGCGGUAA